rnacentral:antisense_RNA from 1 species
CUUCAACGAACCGAGCCACAGCGGCUGUUCUGUCGACCGUCCGGCACCGUAGGUCGCGAGCAGUGCCUGCGCCUC